CCUACGGGAGGCAGCAGUGAGGAAUAUUGGUCAAUGGACGAGAGUCUGAACCAGCCAAGUAGCGUGAAGGAUGACUGCCCUAUGGGUUGUAAACUUCUUUUAUAUGGGAAUAAAAUGUUCCACGUGUGGGGUUUUGUAUGUACCAUAUGAAUAAGGAUCGGCUAACUCCGUGCCAGCAGCCGCGGUAAUACGGAGGAUACGAGCGUUAUCCGGAUUGAUUGGGUUUAACGGGAGCGUAGGUGGAGUGUGAAGGCAGUUGGGAAAGUUCUCGGCUCAACCGUAAAAUUGCAGUUGAAACUGGCAGUCUUGAGUACAGUAGAGGUGGGCGGAAUUCGUGGUGUAGCGGUGAAAUGCUUAGAUAUCACGAAGAACUCCGAUUGCGAAGGCAGCUCACUGGACUGCAACUGACACUGAGGCUCGAAAGUGUGGGUAUCAAACAGGAUUAGAUACCCCGGUAGUC
rnacentral:rRNA from 1 species